GACGAACGCUGGCGGCGUGCUUAACACAUGCAAGUCGAACGGAAAGGCCCUGCUUUUGUGGGGUGCUCGAGUGGCGAACGGGUGAGUAACACGUGAGUAACCUGCCCCUGACUUUGGGAUAACUUCAGGAAACUGGGGCUAAUACCGGAUAGGAGCUCCUGCUGCAUGGUGGGGGUUGGAAAGUUUCGGCGGUUGGGGAUGGACUCGCGGCUUAUCAGCUUGUUGGUGGGGUAGUGGCUUACCAAGGCUUUGACGGGUAGCCGGCCUGAGAGGGUGACCGGCCACAUUGGGACUGAGAUACGGCCCAGACUCCUACGGGAGGCAGCAGUGGGGAAUAUUGCACAAUGGGCGGAAGCCUGAUGCAGCAACGCCGCGUGCGUGAUGACGGCCUUCGGGUUGUAAACCGCUUUCGCCUGUGACGAAGCGUGAGUGACGGUAAUGGGUAAAGAAGCACCGGCUAACUACGUG
rnacentral:rRNA from 1 species